rnacentral:tRNA from 1 species
GGAAUGUAGCUCAGAGAUAAAAGAGUAUUUGCCUGGCAUGCAAAAGGCCCUGGGUUCAAUCCCCAGUACCUUCCU